rnacentral:misc_RNA from 1 species
UCUCUCUCUCUCUCUGUGUUUUUCACCUAUGGUUUUGGUGUGGGUCCUUGUACAGUUUCUAGGUUUCUGCUGUUGAGGUGAACGGAUUGGAUUCAGUUUUGCUAUAUGCGCAAUGCUCCUUUGUCACUUUUGCUGCAUCAAUCAUUGGCUGAGUUAUAAACGUAUAUAAUAAAACAGUUUACUGAACAUAGUUGUAAACUGAAACUUUUCAUUCUCAUUGUGAUACAAGAAAUGAUCUGAGUUAAAUCUAUAAUACCUAGUAGUGAUAUUUUAAUUGCUAGGGCAUAGCUUUUUGCAUGUUCGCUUCUUAAUUAAACCAUUGAAUGCUAAAUAAACAAGUUGAAGAAUGUUUUAAAUGUUAAAAGAAAGAAAACCCAAGUUUGUUAUUGUGGGUUACAAUUGCAUGGGGAUGAGGGUAUAUUUGUAGAAUGUAGCAUGCGUAAUGCAUGGUGAGCCAGAAUAAAGUAUCAGUGGAUUCUGAGUUUUCUCAUGGGUAUUAUGGGUUUUCUUUUUUAUUUUUAUUUGUUUUUUUGGUAUGUUUAUUUCUUCUGGAUUCCAUCCUUGCCCUCUCAUGAUAGUAUGCUUGU